UUACUUAGCUUAAACCACAAAAACCUUUCACCUUCUCUUUCAUUUCCACCGACGCACUUCUUCUUCCUCACCCCAAAUUUUUUCUUCACCAUUUUACUUCUUCUUUUUCCCAUAUCUCCCUCUUUCUCUCUUCUAAACCCCAGAUUUUGUUUCUCAUAUCAACCACAACCACUCAACUAUGAAAGAUUUUUAGCCUUUUUCUCAACUAUGGACUAUGAAGCAUAUUGUUCUCGUGGAAACCGCUCCACCCAAUACUGACAAGAACCGAGUGGUUGUGGGUCUGAGAUUCAAACCCCCUCUAGAAGAGUCUCGGGAUCGCCUACAACUGCCUCACCUCCUAUCCUAAUGACCAUUGAGGAUUUCGUUUCUCAACCGGGACGAGAACUUAUCUCAAAACUCCAUCCCAACUACAUCAGAGAUUCUACAUGGCAUCUGGAAACGACAUUAGCAAAUCUCUAAAUCGGAUGAUGUAUGGACUCCUCAAAGAACCUUAUGAAAUAUACUCGUCAAUGCCAAGUGAUGACCGUGACCUUUGGUUGAAACAGUUUGCGCAAGAUUUUAACUGGGAGCCACAAAUGACAUCUAGAGUCUGUCGAGAGUUUGACAAAGAGACAGCGACUCAAUAUUACAACAUGUUAAGUGAGUGGAAGCGCGGAGAAACUCCAAAGGGAAUAAACGACAAGGUGUACAAAGGGUUGCAAGAGUAGUGGGCACAUCCCAAGACAAACAAAACUUCUACCCAGAAAUCUAAAAACCGGAAUAGCAAUCGAGGUGGCAAAGUGUGAGCAACGCACAAUGCCAGGUAAACAAGCUUCUAUACCUCUGGACUACAACUUACUAAAAGAGAUGGUGUGGCUUCUAAUCACUUAACAUUGAUGGAAGACACCCACGCCAACAAAAAGACCAAGCUAAUUCAAGACCCUUUAGCUAAGGAAGUGAUUGGCAAUUCUUGUAAGAGGAUGGAGGGGUUUAGUUUAUCCCAACCUUCAGUCGAUGGAAAUGGCUUACCAACACCAAUCCCUGUCGACAUGAUUAACCAAUUCGUUCUUGAGUUCUUUACUUUUUGAUUCAAAUUAUUUUUUGCUUAUGAUUCUUUUUAUAUAUUUUGUUCGAAUUGUUCUAAAUUUCAGAAAACUCUCCAAACCAAGGGUCGAAUCUUUGGAUUAGGAAAAGUUGCAAAAAGACUUCGUACUUGUUUAUCAUCUUCAUCACUAAUAUAUGAUCGUGAUGUUUAACU